GCACACUUAAAAAUGGUUAAAAUGGUAGAAUUCUAUGUUAUGUGUAUUUUACCAAACAAAACUGGUCAUAUGCUGACAGUCCAAAGACAUCGCCGCCGCCAUAAAUGGGGCUGCCCGGUCCCACCUGAGCUGUCCUCAGCACACACCUCGCUUCAGUCGGAGAUGACAUCUUCCCAGUUUUUCCAGGCCAGCAACUUCGAGUAACUGAACGCCCUCUUUACAAACAGGAUGGAGACUGCAUGUGUUUUCUCUCUGGGGCAAGGCCAGAUUAAGUUAAGAAAACACAGCGGAUUCCUCCCCCUCCCCCCAGGAAAAACCCUGCCGGGGCAAUAGCAGAACUAACAGGGCUGCUGCACACUUUCACUUCCCGCCGGCCCACAUCCCCCAGCUUCUCCUGAGUGUCCACGUCCAGCAAAGCCAGGACUUGGGGUGGCAGGUGGUGCCCUCUCAGCCUGCUCCUGGAGGACGUGUCUACACUGAGCUCCAGUAAAUAAGACACAGCCAUGCAGGCUCCAGGAGGCAAUUUCUGCAGCUCUGGGUUUCCUUGCAGACUCCCUUGCAGCUAGGAGUUGCCGUGUGACUCGAUCUGGCCAAUAAGAUGAAAACAGAAGUCUCCUGAAAAGGGUAGAAAUCCUUCUCCACUCUCCCUCCCACUCCUGCUUCCUGCUAACUGGAAUGUAAAUGUCAUGACAAGAGCCCACUUCCCACUAACUGGAAUACAGAUGCAAUGGCAAGAACUUGAACAGCUAUUUGGACCAUGAGGCAAGAUGCGAAGAACAGUGGAGCAGCAAGAUAGAAGCAGCAUGGGUCCAUAAAGAAUAUAGACCAACCAUACUUGUCCUAAUCUGAUAGCCCAAACCCUAGACUUCUUUUAUAUGAGAGAAAAAAAUAAACUUAUGUUGUAUUGU